AUUGAACGCUGGCGGCAGGCCUAACACAUGCAAGUCGGACGGUAGCACAGAGAGCUUGCUCUUGGGUGACGAGUGGCGGACGGGUGAGUAAUGUCUGGGGAUCUGCCCGAUAGAGGGGGAUAACCACUGGAAACGGUGGCUAAUACCGCAUAACGUCGCAAGACCAAAGAGGGGGACCUUCGGGCCUCUCACUAUCGGAUGAACCCAGAUGGGAUUAGCUAGUAGGCGGGGUAAUGGCCCACCUAGGCGACGAUCCCUAGCUGGUCUGAGAGGAUGACCAGCCACACUGGAACUGAGACACGGUCCAGACUCCUACGGGAGGCAGCAGUGGGGAAUAUUGCACAAUGGGCGCAAGCCUGAUGCAGCCAUGCCGCGUGUAUGAAGAAGGCCUUCGGGUUGUAAAGUACUUUCAGCUGGGAAGAUAAUGACGGUACCAGCAGAAGAAGCCCCGGCUAACUCCGUGCCAGCAGCCGCAGUAACAC
rnacentral:rRNA from 1 species